CGGAACGUAGCUCAAUCGGUCAGAGCAGCUGGCUUAUAUCCAGCGUGGCGGGGGGUCGAGUCUUUCCGUUCCGA
rnacentral:tRNA from 1 species